rnacentral:rRNA from 1 species
GAUGAACGCUGGCGGCGUGCCUAAUACAUGCAAGUCGAGCGAAUGGAUUGAGAGCUUGCUCUUAUGAAGUUAGCGGCGGACGGGUGAGUAACACGUGGGUAACCUGCCCAUAAGACUGGGAUAACUCCGGGAAACCGGGGCUAAUACCGGAUAACAUUUUGAACCGCAUGGUUCGAAAUUGAAAGGCGGCUUCGGCGUGCACUCAUGUAUGGACCCGCGUGGCAUUAGCUAGUUGGUGAGUUAACGGCUCACCAAGGCAACGAUGCGUAGCCGUCCUGUGAGGGUGAUCGGCCACACUGGGACUGAGACACGGCCCAGACUCCUACGGGAGGCAGCAGUAGGGAAUCUUCCGCAAUGGACGAAAGUCUGACGGAGCAACGCCGCGUGAGUGAUGAAGGCUUUCGGGUCGUAAAACUCUGUUGUUAGGGAAGAACAAGUGCUAGUUGAAUAAGCUGGCACCUUGACCGUACCUAACCAGAAAGCCACGGCUAACUACGUGCCAGCAGCCGCCGCCG